CCCUUGUGGAGGAGGACGCCGAAGGUGGGGCUAAUGACUGGGGUGAAGUCGUAACAAGGUAGCCGUACCGGAAGGUGCGGCUGGAUCACCUCCUAACAGGGAGACAACAAAAUGUUUAAUAUUAUUAUUUUGUCACCUUAGGUCGAUCGGUAUCUCACAUCCUCGAUUUUAUUGAGGAUUUCAUUUCCUAAGUUUUUCUAGGUCACACCCAUUAUUUUUCCUGGGCCAUUAGCUCAGGUGGUUAGAGCGCACCCCUGAUAAGGGUGAGGUCCCUGGUUCAAGUCCAGGAUGGCCCAUAUCUCUAUGUUGGGGGUAUAGCUCAGUUGGUAGAGCGCCUGCUUUGCAAGCAGGAUGUCAGCGGUUCGAGUCCGCUUACCUCCACUGAUCACCACCUCUUCCAUAAUUUAUAGAAGGGAAUUGUUUUGAGUUGUGAUCAAAUCUGAACGAAUCUAGCUUCCUAAUGAAAUCAUUAAGAUGCUGGACUCAUUGAAUUAAUUUCAUUGUUUUCAGAGAACCUUGACAACUGCAUAGAUUAUUUUUAAAGACAAUAAGCAUCUUUAAUGAUGCAGAUUUAUUAUUUGUGCGAAUGCAUUAAUAACAAUUCUAUUAAGCUGAUGCUUCAAUUUUUGAAGUUAUUGGUCAAGCUACAAAGGGCUCACGGAGGAUACCUAGGCACACAGAGGC
rnacentral:misc_RNA from 1 species